rnacentral:sRNA from 1 species
CGAGUACGCGGUGAGCAUGGUGUUCCAGGAGACGGUGUCCCGGCGGGGCAUCGCGUCGAACACCCUCCGUGCGCACGCGGCGCCCGCGCAGCGCGCGUACAUCUGGAGGAGGCAGUUGGAGACGAAGGCAGUGGGGACGAACCCGGACACGACCAUCCGCGCGUGAGCGGCGCGGCCGGCGGCGAGCGCCUCCCGUCCUGCCUGGGCGCAGCUCUGGAAGACGCGGGAGAACGUGACCCUGGCGGGAGCCACAGGAGGCGGCUGCUGCUGCUCUGCUGGCAUCCGGGCAUGCUCGGCGAGAGCGCGACGCGGGGGGUGGAGGCCAUGCGGUGGCGGCGGCGUAGGGCGAGGCGAGCGGUGGAGGAG